rfam:Candidatus Niyogibacteria bacterium RIFCSPLOWO2_01_FTLL_45_48 rifcsplowo2_01_scaffold_62194, whole genome shotgun sequence.
GCCGGAGUAGCUCAGUUGGCAGAGCGAUGCUUUCGUAAAGCAGAGGUCGCGAGUUCGAUUCUCGCCUCCGGCU